AGGGUUCGAUUCUGGCUCAGGAUGAACGCUGGCGGCGUGCCUAAUACAUGCAAGUCGAACGAGGUAGCAAUACCGAGUGGCGAACGGGUGAGUAACACGUAGGUAACCUGCCCUUAAGCUUGGGAUACCCAGAGGAAACUUUGGCUAAUACCGGAUAACAACAGAGAAGGCAUCUUCUUUGCUUGAAAGGCCCCUUCAAGGGUCACUUAAGGAUGGACCUGCGGCGCAUUAGCUAGUUGGUGAGAUAACAGCCCACCAAGGCGAGGAUGCGUAGCCGAACUGAGAGGUUGAUCGGCCACAUUGGGACUGAGACACGGCCCAAACUCCUACGGGAGGCAGCAGUGGGGAAUAUUGCACAAUGGGGGAAACCCUGAUGCAGCCGACGCCGCGUGAGCGAAGAAGUAUUUCGGUAUGUAAAGCUCUAUCAGCAGGGAAGAUAAUGACGGUACCUGACUAAGAAGCACCGGCUAAAUACGUGCCAGCCGCCGC
rnacentral:rRNA from 1 species